CAGAUUUUGUAUUAUCCAACAUAUAAACUUCUAUAUCUAUCCACUAAAGAUAAAAUAUCAAAAAAUACAAAAAUAUACACCACUUCUCGUGAGUGAAGUAUUUUCGUUUGAUUAUCAAAACACCACUUCUCGUUAUAUUUUUUCCUCCUCCAUAUAAUACUACACCAAAACAAAACAAAAAAAAAUAAGUUAGAUCCUCUCUGACAUGACUCCCGAUGAAGACUGUGUGGAAUGUUUCUAGCUGUGCUUCCAGCGUGAAUCCUCCGGCGUUUGCUCCUGGCGAACCUCCCCCGGCCCUCCUCCUGACCCUCCCGACCUCUCUUCGCCUCUCUCUCCUGUACACUUUCAUUCCCUCACUGAAACCACUACUAAUCAUGUUGCUUAUGGUCCUCCCCGCAAGGGAUCCCGUAAGGAGACUCGAGCCCAUACUACUACUGCACCUUCUCAGGAGAAGAAGCAAGUCGAAACUGCUUGCUCUGGUACCACUUCAAUGGAGAUAGAGCAAGACAACACAACCUUAUCCAUAACUGACACUGUUCCAGAAAGUAGAUCUACUCCUGCUACAGUACUCACUGAAAGUUCUGAAACUUUCACAGACCAAAACUACUCAAUCAUCCCUCCCAAAGCCUCCUCCCCCACUCAAACCAACAAAGCUUCCAACUUUAACCAAAACACCUCCCUCCUGCCCCCAUUACCUGUUACUCCCAUACCAGCUAUGACUAUUUCAGCUCUUGAGAAAAACCCUUCUCCGAACCAAACCCUUGUUGAGAAAAUGAGAACCUCUGCGGAUAUAUCCAUGUAGCGUCUUGCUCCUGUCUCCAUUGCUCCGUCUGGUCGCCCAUGAGUAGUCAUACCUGAUUCAGUUUUCAAAAAAGGAGCUGAAAUCCAUAAAGACUACAUUAUUUGCUACUUCAAUGAAAGUCUCCCCCAUUUAAUCAGAUACAGAGUGUUUUUAACAUAUGUGGAGUAAGGGCAAGAGACUCUAGAUACAUAACAAUCCUAUAAACCGUUAUGUUCUUGUGCGGAUUCAGCGUGAUUACCUCAGGCAUAAUAUUUUGGAGAAGAAUAUAUGGUACGUUGGCGAUUCGAUGUUCCAUACUGCUCAGUGGAGCUCCGAUCACUCCAGAAAUAAUCCCUCUUUGAAGGCUAUAAAGAUCUGGGCCCAUCUCACCGGUGUGCCUCUUGAUCUCCGGUAUGAUGAAAGUCUUAGUUUGGUGACUUGUCUUGUGGGUGAGCCUAGAUAAACGGAUGAGCUUACAAAGAACAUGGUCAGUUUAACAGUCUCUCAUGUCAAAGUUGAAGUAGACUUAACUGUUCCAUUACCCACUGUGGUUGAGUUCGAAAGAGAGAGAGUGGUGAAGUUGUCGAAGUCUCGGUCCACUAUCCAUGGGUUCCUCCCACUUGCUCCCAAUGCCAUGAGCUAGGCCAUAUAGUGCGUAAUUGCCUCACAUUCUCUCCUCCAGCGCCUGCAUCAAAAACGAGGGAAACUUCAUCAUCUUAGAACAAUGCAAACUCUAAAACCUCAGGAAAAAACCCAGAAAACUCCUAUAAAUUCCUCUACUACUAAAUCAUCUUUUACCCCAUCCAAAGCCUCCAAAAAAUACCAGAAAAGAAUCCCAACCUGUUAACUUUCCUCUAGCUGUUGAACCCCCUACUGUCCAGUCUCCUCUUGAACCUCCUGAUAAAACCUUAGCUACUGAGUUUCCCUCUUCCUUCUCCUCCCCUGAUCAUGUCCCUCAUCCAUCCUUAAAACGCUCAAGAUCCUCUCCAACCCUCUCCCCUCCCUUAGCUCCUUCCUUCUCCAAUUAAAACCAUUUAUUACCUAUUCAUAACCCGUUUCAGCCUCUCUCUUUCAACUCCCACCCCCCUUCCUUGGCUUUCCUUCUUCCUCCUUGCAACCCUGUUGUCCCUAUCCCAGCUAGUUUACCUUCCUCCUCUCCUUGAGGACCCUCCAAGCCCAUCCCUAUAAGUCUUAACCUAUUUUUUUGGAAUGUCCGUGACCUAAAUGAUCCGGAUAAGCACCAGCCAUUUGUAGACUGGCUUAAUAUUCAAAAUCCCCUUUUUGGAGACUUGUUAGAAACUCAUAUAAAAGAACCUCAUCUAGCAUCUAUCCUUUUGAAGAUCAGCCCUAGAUGGAAAUACCUAUCUAACUAUCUCUCGGACCCAGAUGGACGCAUUGUUCUCAUCUGGAAAGACCCUCUGGAUACUCAGCUCUUAUUCCAGUCGAGGCAGUACAUAACUUGCUUUAUCACUGUCCCAAACCAAGCUCCAAUUUACUACACUGCUAUUUAUGCUUCCAACCUUAGUGAAGAGAGAAUGGAGCUCUGGAAUGACUUGCUGCAGAAUCACUCAGCAGUUGAUCUUGAUACUAGAAACUGGAUAGUGGGGGGGGGGGAGAUUUAAAUCAGAUUCUCUUCCCAUUGAAACACUCCAGCCCAUCAAUUGAUCAAACUGAUAAUCUCAUGUAUCAAGUUCAGGACUGCUUCCUCCAAGCUGGUCUGUUUGACUUGCGUUACCUAGGGCCAUGCCACACUUGGACAAACAACCAGUCGGACUCAUCUAUCGUCAAAAAACUUGACCGCCUGCUUGUCAACAAACGCCACCAUCCUCACCCUUGUUCCUAAGUUUCCUGGAGCGUCAAAGAUAACUGAGUUCAGGCCAAUCUCACGUCUUAACACAUUUAUAAGGUCAUCUCUAGAUUGCUGGUAAAAAGAUUGAAACUAAUUCUGCCUUCUCUUAUCCUACCAUGCCAAACAACUUUUGUAAAGGGAAGGCUACUCCUAGAGAACUCAGUCCUAGCAGCUGAACUAACUAAUGGUUACCAUAAAAACAAAGGUGCAAAGAAGAUUACCAUUAAAAUCGAUAUUGCAAAGGCGUUCGACACUCUGUCGUGGGAGUUUCUGCUGUCCUAUCUCCAUGGUCUGGGCCUUCCACAACAGUUCCUUCAUUGGCUGUCCUGUUGUAUCUGCAAUACAAGUUUCAUGGUGGGUUAUAACGGUACAGUGAAUGGAUAUUUUAAAGGCACUAGAGGUCUUAGGCAAGGGGAUCCACUAUCCCCUUACCUAUUUGUACUAGCCAUGAAUUGUCUAUCUCAUAUGUUGAAUGCAGUGGCAGCUCAGACGAGGUUCAGAUUUCACACCAACUGCAAGAAAAUAAAAUUGACUCACCAACUGCAUUACUAAUGAAGAUCUUUAUACUGGAGCUUUUUUUCUAGCUACAGCACUGCACGGGUCGAUACGCACAGCGCCUAGUAUCCAUCGUUUACGGCUAGGACUACUGGGAGGGAAACAUCGAGUCAGUCUAGUGUGUUCUUCAGGUCCUCAAGGAGUUUGAAGAGCGCUCUGGAUUAGCUAUAAGCAUGCAGAAAACAAGCUUUUUUUGCUUCAAGCAUAUCUCAAGAUGAAAUUAACAGAAUUCAGGUAUCGGCGGAAAUGGCUUCUGGUAACUUACCCUUUCGAUCUCUAGGUGUGCCUUUGAACUCGAGGAAACUCUCUUUAUCCAGCUGUGAGCCAUUGUUGCACCAGAUCAAAACUCGGUUCUCUUCCUGGUCCACGAGAACUCUCUCCUUCUCGGAGAGAUUGCUGCUAUAAAGACUGUUAUUCUAGGGAUCACAACUUUCUGGUGUUCGUCAUUUAUUCUUCCUAAAGCAUGUAUUCAAAAGAUCAAUUCCAUGUGCAGUACCUUUCUGUGGAGAGGAAAUGUUGAGGCUCAUAACACAGCAAAGGUUGCUUGGACAACAAUGGUGAAAACGAAGGAUCAAGGAGGAUUAGAAGUAAAGGACCUCUAGACUUGGAACAAAGCUGCUGCAUGCGUCUGAUAUGGCUCAUCUUCUUCAGGCCACAGUCGGUUUGGGUAUCCUGGUUCAAAGAAGUCAUACUUAAAGGCUCUGUUAGUAACUAUUGGACAACAAACCCAUCUCCUAAAUUUUCUUGGUUGGCAAACAAACUACUGAAGCUGAGAAGUGUGGUUUACCCCUUGAUACAUCUGCGAAUUCAGAAUGGUGAAGCCUGUAGGUUCUGGAUAGAUAACUGGAGUCCUUUUGGGUGUCUACAAAGUUAGUUAGAUGGAGUAAGAACUCGUCUUGGCAUCCCGAAAGAAGCAACACUGGCUUCCCUGCAUCGGAAUGGGAUAUGGCGUCUUCCAGCAGCUCGAACUGACUGUCAACUACAGGUCCUCUCCUAUAUCAAAACCAUUCAAUUCAACAAAGAGUCAGACUAUUAUGAGUGGGAGAUCAAUGGGAAAAUUAGUGAUAAAUAUAGCACUGGAGAAGUUUACCAUUAUCUUAGGGGCACAGUUUCAGGAGCUAACUGGUCUAAAGUGAUCUGGUCCUCGAGAUGUAUUCCACGGCAGAGCUUCCAUGCUUGACUAGUGGUUCAGAAUAGGAUCCCAAAUCGCGACAGGAUGAUCGGUUGGGUCUGCAAACACCGUCGAUAUGCUUGCUGUGUAACGCACAUGAUAAAUCUCGAGAUCACCUUUAUUGGGACUGUGAUUUUUCGUAUCAGCUUUGGAGCAUGGUUGCAGACAGAAGCAGGAUUCGUCCACACCGGUGAUGGGAAAGCUCGCUGAGUCAGAUGAUUUCACAUCCCCCUCCUUCGACUACCCGUUCUCUGAUCCUCCUUGGAUGGCAGGCCACUCAAUACUGGAUAUGGCAGGAGUGCAACCAGCGCUUGCAUGGAAACACCUAUAGAUCCAUCGAGUCUCUCUUCUCACUAAUUGAUCAUCAGAUUAGGAACAUGAUCCAAAGUUUAUGUGAAGUAAACCCUACGAGAUCCUCCUAAAUGAUGCAGCAAUGGAUUAGGUGAUGCUCUGGUCUACCUCUUCUUCUCUCUCUCUCGAUCGAAAUUUCUGUUGGCGUUGUUCUCAAGUUUUUUUUCUCUGCAACCGGGUUGCUCUGUACUGGGCUUUUGUUGGAAUGGGCUCUUUAACUUCUGAUGGGUUGGUAUUAUAUGAGUUUCUAGAGCUAGGCUCUAUUACUAUUGCCUUGGGUUUUUAUAAAACAUCUUAUUUUUCUGCAUUUUAAUUUAAGAAAGCCAGUCAAAAAAAACAAAAAAUUAUUAAUAAUCUGAACUCAUUAUCUAUUGGUCAAAACACCUGUGUAUGGAUUACUAUCUUGACUAUUGAUAUUUUUAAUCCAAGGGUCCGAAAUAAAUCUUCUCUCUCUCUCUCUCUCUCUCUCUCACACACACACACACACACACAAUUCUCUAUGUAUAUCACCAUCUUCAAUCUCAGUUUCUCUCUGUACACAAUCACUAACAAUCUCCGCCUCCGAUUUUGGUGUUAAUAGAUCCGACAUAUCUAAUUAUAUGUCGUCAUUCACCAAAACCGCUUCAACUUCAAACCAAUCUUCAAACUCUAUUCCUCUGAAACCUUUCUCCUCUUCCUGUCGACGAAGUGCAGAUGGAGCAAGAUCCUAUAGCUCACACGAAAGAGACGGAUUGGAGAUGGAGGAAGGAAACGAGACGAAUGAAGAGGCUGCAGAGGCUGAAGACCAGAUCUGGCGGAGAGCAGGACGAUGGAGGACGUGGCUGACGGCGUGACUGAAGCUUCUAUGAUGGAGGAGGAGUUAGUGAUAGAGGCGACCGGAGUAAGCAAACAGAGGAAUUAGGGUUCUGUUAGGUUUAACUUUUUUCUGUUUAUUUUUUUGGUUUACAUGUAAACCAAAUUUGAAUUAUUUUUAUAUGUAAAUUUUUUUAAUUUAUGAAUCACGUAUAAUUCAAUUUUAA